GGUUAAGUUAGAAAGGGCGCACGGUGGAUGCCUUGGCACUAGGAGCCGAAGAAGGACGGGACUAACACCGAUAUGCUUUGGGGAGCUGUACGUAAGCGUUGAUCCAGAGAUUUCCGAAUGGGGGAACCCACUAUCUUUAGUCGGAUAGUAUCCUUACGUGAAUACAUAGCGUGAGGAAGGCAGACCCAGGGAACUGAAACAUCUAAGUACCUGGAGGAAGAGAAAGAAAAAUCGAUUUCCUGAGUAGCGGCGAGCGAAACGGAAAGAGCCCAAACCAAGAAGCUUGCUUCUUGGGGUUGUAGGACACUCUAUACGGAGUUACAAAAGAAAGUUAUAAAUGAAGCGGUCUGGAAAGGCCCGCCAAAGACGGUAACAGCCCGGUAGUUGAAAUAGCUUUCCCUCCAGAGUGGAUCCUGAGUACGGCGGAACACGUGAAAUUCCGUCGGAAUCCGGGAGGACCAUCUCCCAAGGCUAAAUACUCCCUAGUGACCGAUAGUGAACCAGUACCGUGAGGGAAAGGUGAAAAGCACCCCGGAAGGGGAGUGAAACAGUUCCUGAAACCGUGUGCCUACAAGUAGUUAGAGCCCGUUAAUGGGUGAUAGCGUGCCUUUUGUAGAAUGAACCGGCGAGUUACGAUUUGUUGCAAGGUUAAGCGGAAAAAGCGGAGCCGUAGCGAAAGCGAGUCUGAAUAGGGCGCAUAAGUAACAGGUCGUAGACCCGAAACCAGGUGAUCUACCCAUGUCCAGGAUGAAGGUAAGGUAAUACUUACUGGAGGUCCGAACCCACGCACGUUGAAAAGUGCGGGGAUGAGGUGUGGGUAGCGGAGAAAUUCCAAUCGAACUUGGAGAUAGCUGGUUCUCUCCGAAAUAGCUUUAGGGCUAGCCUCGAGGUAAAGAGUCAUGGAGGUAGAGCACUGUUUGGACUAGGGGCCCUUCUCGGGUUACCGAAUUCAGAUAAACUCCGAAUGCCAUGUACUUAUACUCGGGAGUCAGACUGCGAGUGAUAAGAUCCGUAGUCGAAAGGGAAACAGCCCAGACCACCAGUUAAGGUCCCCAAAUAUAUGUUAAGUGGAAAAGGAUGUGGGGUUGCUUAGACAACCAGGAUGUUGGCUUAGAAGCAGCCACCAUUGAAAGAGUGCGUAAUAGCUCACUGGUCGAGUGACCCCGCGCCGAAAAUGUACCGGGGCUAAACAUAUUACCGAAACUGUGGAUGAACCUCUUUAGAGGUUCGUGGUAGGAGAGCGUUCUAAGGGCGGUGAAGUCAGACCGGAAGGACUGGUGGAGCGCUUAGAAGUGAGAAUGCCGGUAUGAGUAGCGAAAGAAGGGUGAGAAUCCCUUCCACCGAAUAUCUAAGGUUUCCUGAGGAAGGCUCGUCCGCUCAGGGUUAGUCGGGACCUAAGCCGAGGCCGAUAGGCGUAGGCGAUGGACAACAGGUAGAGAUUCCUGUACCAGUGCUAAUUGUUUAACCGAUGGGGUGACACAGAAGGAUAGGGAAUCGCACGAAUGGAAAUGUGCGUCCAAGCAGUGAGUGUGAGAAGUAGGCAAAUCCGCUUCUCGCGAAGCAUGAGCUGUGAUGGGGAAGGAAAUUAAGUACGGAAGUUCCUGAUUUCACGCUGUCAAGAAAAGCCUCUAGGAAGAGUAGUACUGCCCGUACCGCAAACCGACACAGGUAGAUGAGGAGAGAAUCCUAAGGUGAGCGAGAGAACUCUCGUUAAGGAACUCGGCAAAAUGACCCCGUAACUUCGGGAGAAGGGGUGCUCUAUUAGGGUGCAAGCCCGAGAGAGCCGCAGUGAAUAGGCCCAGGCGACUGUUUAGCAAAAACACAGGUCUCUGCAA
rnacentral:rRNA from 1 species